CGCACCGUGGCUUAGUGGUUGGCACAUUCGCCUCACACCUCCAGGGUCGAGGGUUCGAUUCCCACUGGGGCCA